CUGUCUAGUGUCUGUGUACAUAUCUGUGUCUGACACGAGGAAACUUUUUUGACAAGUUGUCUGUAUUCUUAAAUACUUAAAAAAUUAUCUUUUUCUAAACAGCCCUCAUCACUCUGCACUCUUCCCCCCAGCCCACUGAUAGCAACCAUCAUAAUGCCCCACCCAGCUUCCGGCACCUUUCGCCACUCCGGCACAAACCGACACAGCUUUGCGAUCUCGCCAGCAUGCAGAGUCUGAUGUCUUCCCUAUAGAUGAUUCCAGAGACUCUGUGAGGCCACUAUUACAAGGCAAGUUUGAAAAUCUUGGAAUUUCACAGUUUACAUGGUAUAACAAAUAUAUGUGACAGGCAAAAACUAGUAAACACUUUUAGCAGUUACAAGAACUAACAAAUGAAUAUCCAACAAAAGGGAAUAGAAAUACAUUGUACUGCCAAUACUUUGGUUUAUUCUUUGUAUGACUUGAAAAUCAGGCUUUAGGGAAAACUAAAUGACAUGUUUCUAUCAUCAAUUACAUGAAGUAAACACACAAGCACUUGCAUACACAUUUAAGACAUGAGACACGCUAAUUCCAUCUCAUAAAAUGUGUCUAUAGGUGAGACGCUUUGCGUUGAUUGGUGCUGCUGGACCACACUGGAGGUGCGAGUCCGCCGUGUAAUGGUUUAUGCCAUUACAAAGGAGCUGGCCUCUGUACUCAACUGGGCAGGGGAAAAAAAACCAAGGACCAGACAAAGCAAAAAAGGGCAUUUAAAGAGACAGCGCUGUGCAGAUGCAUAUUUGAUGGCCUGGCGCAGCAGGUAGGGGCGAACUCUGUCUGAGUUGGUCUUUGCUCAAGCAGUCCAGAAAUGGCUCAGAUACGCUCCAGAUCGUACGGGUGGCGCGCAGGACACACAUCAUCCAUCCCCAUCCCGGAAUAAAUAAUAAAAAGUGACGUGAAACAUAGAAAUGUAAAUAGGAAACUUUGUCUUUUAAUAAAGUAUUUUGCAAAUGAUACAUGUCUAUUGACCUUUUUUGUUUUUUUUGUUGUUUUUUUUCAAUAAAAAGCAACUGUGCGAAAGAGGUGGAAAAUCAAUACCAUAGCUCAACAGUGUUUCAAUAUCAGAAUCUGACAUUGUUUCAAUGUCAACAGUGUUAGAAAAUAUAACGUCGAAUCAAUGUCAGGUUUCAACAUUGAUUCAACAUCAAAACCUGACGUUGUUUCAACGUUAAAAAUGGGUGCAAGAGUGAUGUUGGGUCAACGUCACACUUCAACGUUGCUUCAAUGACGUCGCCUGAUAUUGACUCAACAUUGUUUCAAUGUUUCCUUGCUAUCUGGGCAGUGAUGUCAUGUUUUGAGACGAGGACCCAGGCACAGAGAGACUUGUUGAAUUUAAGAAUCAUAUGAUUUAAGAAAGAAAUUUGCAGACUUGCACAGAGAUGGUAAAAUUAUGAUGACUGAUAACGGAGAUGAAGACAACAGACGAUGAGGACAGGGAGGAACAGGGGUUUAAAUGCACCCAGGAGACAGUCAGAGAGAACUUGGGACAACUGGAGACAUUUAAGGAUGCAGGGACUCACAGACACAGGGAAGAAGUCUCAUUGUGACGUGUAAAGUUUAUCUUGCCUGGCUGGGCAGCUCUCUGGGUGCUCAGCACCCCCAAAGCUCUAAUCCUAGAAUCGCCCCUGCUAUAAAUACCAUUUGCAUUUUCUGUUGUGUACUUCAUUUGCUGUUAUGGAUAAAAAGUGUCUUUUUUUUGUUUCAAAGUAGCUGAUAACUAUUCGCUGAUAGCUGCCAACAUCUGCAAACAAAUAUAAUUCUAUAAAGUGGUUCUAUAUAGUGUGUAACUGUUAAUAUAGUAAACGUGGAGGUAAAUGGACUGUGUGGAAAUGAAACAACCUUACCAUUGAUUCAAAACAAUUUCGAUGAGCAAGCUAGUACACAGCUAAGGAGCACAGAUAACAUGACCAAGAAAGUAGACUCUGUGCUUUAUAAUAAAUCCACAAGUGAUAAUCC
ensembl:lncRNA